GGGGUUGUGACUCAGUGGUAGAGCACUUGCCUAGCAUGCAUGAGGGACUGGGUUCGAUCCCCAGCACCACCU
rnacentral:tRNA from 1 species